rnacentral:rRNA from 1 species
CCUACGGGAGGCAGCAGUGAGGAAUAUUGGUCAAUGGACGAGAGUCUGAACCAGCCAAGUAGCGUGAAGGAUGACUGCCCUAUGGGUUGUAAACUUCUUUUAUAUGGGAAUAAAAUGUUCCACGUGUGGGAUUUUGUAUGUACCAUAUGAAUAAGGAUCGGCUAACUCCGUGCCAGCAGCCGCGGUGAUACGGAGGGUCCGAGCGUUAUCCGGAUUUAUUGGGUUUAAAGGGCGCGUAGGUGGAGUGUUAAGUCAGUUGUGAAAGUUUGCGGCUCAACCGUAAAAUUGCAGUUGAAACUGGCAGUCUAGAGUACAGUAGAGGUGGGCGGAAUUCGUGGUGUAGCGGUGAAAUGCUUAGAUAUCACGAAGAACUCCGAUUGCGAAGGCAGUUCACUGGACUGCAACUGACACUGAGGCUCGAAAGUGUGGGUAUCAAACAGGAUUAGAUACCCCUGUAGUC